rnacentral:lncRNA from 1 species
AGGCUUUUACCACCAUUGGAGAGGACUUGGAGCUUUGAUAGAGGCUUGUUGGAGGAAAGAUCUUCCACCCCAUUUGAUUUGGAGCCCAAGUUGAGACUUCUAGAGAGGUUAGCAACAUGAUUUGAGCUUUUGUUCCAUGNUUGUGUACCGGUACACAAACCCGUGUACCGGUACACAGUGCAGGUUGGGGCUAUUACGUGGAGGGGUGUUUUUGCAAUUGUUGCAACACCUAUAUAAGUGACCCCAGCCCCCUUAGACAGGGUUUUGAGCCCUAGUCUGUGGAGACAAGGUGAGACUCUCCCCCUUUGAGUUUUCUUUCCAUUUUUGAUGGAUUUUGGUAGGUUUUGAUCUCUCCUCCUUGCUUUUCUUGCUUCUUAUUGGGUUUCCUCCAUGAGAGAAGCCUUGAGCUCGGGGUUGGAGCUUUGUGGAGGGAGGAUCUUCAACCCCAUUUGGAUUGGAGCCUAGUUUGGAGCUUCUAGAGAGGUUAUGUAACACACUGGACCUUUGUAAAUUGUGAGGUUUGAGUGAUUGGCUGUGUUCUGAGGUUUUCCAGAUUUUUCUGGUGGGUCGUUGACUGUGUUCCGACCUAUGGCACGUGUCCCGAGAUUUGUGGUACAAAGCCUUGCACCAAAAAUCCGAAAAAACGGGAUUUGGCUGACUCUCAGAUUGAGUUCUGGCGGGCUUGUACCGGUACAAGGUUGUGCUUGUACCGGUACAAAGUUGAUGGUUGUACCGGUACAGCCAUCGGAGCUUGUACCGGUACACAGCCGCAGAGCCCAGCGACCCGAGCCUCGGGUUUGGAUUUCGUGGGCCUUAUACCGGUACAAGGGCCCGUGUACUGGUACAAGGCGGCAGAUUUUGAGCAGUUCGAAACUGCAGGGGCUUUUUCGCGAUUGUAGCCUCUCUAUAACAGCACCCUCGCCCCUUAGGGCUUUUCUUGUGCUGGAACCACAGGGAAACAAGGUGAGGAGCCCAUCCAUUCCCUCCUUUUGAUUUUCCUUGGUUUUAUUGGAGAUUUUUGAGGAUUAAUGCCUCAUUUUGCUUCUUGUUGCAUCUUGGAGGCUUUUACCACCAUUGGAGAGGACUUGGAGCUUUGAUAGAGGCUUGUUGGAGGAAAGAUCUUCCACCCCAUUUGAUUUGGAGCCCAAGUUGAGACUUCUAGAGAGGUUAGCAACAUGAUUUGAGCUUUUGUUCCAUGUUUUGCUAAGUUUUUGAGAUGGAAUCUUAGAUUUGAUACUUAGGGUUUGAUUUUGGGCAUUUUAAAUCUAGG